AUCUAGCUGAUAAGUCCCAAAGAGGAUGAAACGCGCGUCCUGGAU
rnacentral:hammerhead_ribozyme from 1 species